UGUUCGUGGAUGCGUCUGCCAGUCUUCUGCCUGUCUGUCCUACAUAGUGGCCGUUAUGGUCCCUGCACUGUAUGUUGUGGAUGACUCCUGUUUUGUCUUCUUGGGCCACUGGGUCUUUUGGCUUAGUUAAGAUGUUUUGGAGGGUUUUAGUUGGUUUGUGUGGUACGGAGAUGCCAUGUGGUUGUAAUCGUCUGUUGGUGGUUUCUGAGAUGUUUCCAAUGUAUGGCAAUGUUAUCCUUUUCAUAACUUGUGCUGGUUGUGCUGUAGUAGCUGUCUGCCCAUCUGCCCUACAUGGUGGUUGUUACAGUCCCUGCACUGUAUGUUGUGGAUGACUCCUGUUUCUUCUUCUUGGGCUGCUGGGACUUUUGUCAUUGUCAAGUCUGAUUCUUGUCCUGCCCAUGCGCUUCAUGUGCCCAUCUAUUACCCCUGGUUGUUUGGCUGUCUCCUGCUUUGUUGCCUGCCGGGUGGGUUGGGGUUUUCAGUUGACGGGUGACUGCAACCCUAGGUACCCGCACCAUCAUCAAUACUCCGAAACCCAAACUGGCGGAUGACUUGACCCAGUGGCUUCACGUAGGUGCUGAAACGGAGGGUUCUCCUCGGCUUCUCAACAAUCUUCCUGAGAAAGGGAAGGUUGGAGGCUGGUUGACAGUCAUCGAAGACCAUUGAGUCCAAGGACAGCCUCUUGAAGAGGGGGCACGACGCCGUCUCUUUCAAGGCUAGGGGCACCACUCCCUCCAUCAAAGAGGCUGACACUGUGGCCCGGACCCAACCAUGGAUCACCUCCCUGGCCACUUUAACCACCCAGGAGGAGCCUGGAUCCAGUAAACAGGUGGCCGAGCUGACAGGCACAGCCCUGUCCUCAGGAGUAACUGGCUGUAUAUAAUUGUUAAUAUAUAAACACGUGUACAUUA